GCUUAACCGGAGAAGUGCAUCGGAAACUGGGAGACUUGAGUGCAGAAGAGGACAGUGGAACUCCAUGUGUAGCGGUGGAAUGCGUAGAUAUAUGGAAGAACACCAGUGGCGAAGGCGGCUGUCUAGUCUGUAACUGACGCUGAGGCUCGAAAGCAUGGGUAGCAAACAGGAUUAGAUACCCUGGUAGUCCAUGCCGUAAACGAUGAGUGCUAGGUGUUGGAGGGUUUCCGCCCUUCAGUGCCGCAGCUAACGCAUUAAGCACUCCGCCUGGGGAGUACGACCGCAAGGUUGAAACUCAAAGGAAUUGACGGGGGCCCGCGCAAGCGGUGGAGCAUGUGGUUUAAUUCGAAGCUACGCGAAGAACCUUACCAGGUCUUGACAUCUUCUGCCAAUCUUAGAGAUAAGACGUUCCCUUCGGGGACGGAAUGACAGGUGGUGCAUGGUUGUCGUCAGCUCGUGUCGUGAGAUGUUGGGUUAAGUCCCGCAACGAGCGCAACCCUUAUUAUCAGUUGCCAGCAUUAAGUUGGGCACUCUGGUGAGACUGCCGGUGACAAACCGGAGGAAGGUGGGGAUGACGUCAAAUCAUCAUGCCCCUUAUGACCUGGGCUACACACGUGCUACAAUGGACGGUACAACG
rnacentral:rRNA from 1 species